rnacentral:rRNA from 1 species
CCUACGGUGGGCAGCAGUCGAGAAUCAUUCACAAUGGGGGAAACCCUGAUGGUGCGACGCCGCGUGGGGGAAUGAAGGUCUUCGGAUUGUAAACCCCUGUCAUGUGGGAGCAAAUUAAAAAGAUAGUACCACAAGAGGAAGAGACGGCUAACUCUGUGCCAGCAGCCGCGGUAAUACAGAGGUCUCAAGCGUUGUUCGGAAUCACUGGGCGUAAAGCGUGCGUAGGCGGUCCGUUAAGUCAGCGGUAAAAUUGCGGGGCUCAACCCCGUCGAGCCGUUGAAACUGGCAGACUUGAGUUGGCGAGAAGUACGCGGAAUGCGCGGUGUAGCGGUGAGAUGCAUAGAUAUCGCGCAGAACUCCGAUUGCGAAGGCAGCGUACCGGCGCCAGACUGACGCUGAGGCACGAAAGCGUGGGGAUCGAACAGGAUUAGAUACCCCUGUAGUC